GACAGAGGGGGCAAGCGUUGCUCGGAAUCACUGGGCGUAAAGAGCUCGUAGGCGGUCUGUCGCGUCUGCCGUGAAAACCCGAGGCUUAACCUCGGGCUGGCGGUGGAUACGGGCAGACUAGAGGUAGGUAGGGGAGAAUGGAAUUCCCGGUGUAGCGGUGAAAUGCGCAGAUAUCGGGAGGAACACCGGUGGCGAAGGCGGUUCUCUGGGCCUUACCUGACGCUGAGGAGCGAAAGCGUGGGGAGCGAACAGG
rnacentral:rRNA from 1 species